ACGAAGGGGGCUAGCGUUGCUCGGAAUCACUGGGCGUAAAGCGCACGUGGGCGGACUCUUAAGUCGGGGGUGAAAUCCUGAGGCUCAACCUCAGAACUGCCCUCGAUACUGGGAGUCUCGAGUCCGGGAGAGGUGAGUGGAACUCCGAGUGUAGAGGUGAAAUGCGUAGAGAUCCGGAGGAACACCAGAGGCGAAGGCGACACCCUGGGCCGUACCUGACGCUAAGACGCGACAGCACGGGGAGCGAACGG
rnacentral:rRNA from 1 species